CUAGUAACGGCGAGUGAAGAGGGAAAAGCUCAAAUUUUGAAUCUGGUGUCUUUGACUCCCGAGUUGUAAUCUAGAGAAGUGUUUUCCGCGUUGGACCGUGUACAAGUUCCCUGGAACGGGGCGUCAUAGAGGGUGAGAAUCCCGUAUAUGCCACGGACURCCAAUGCUCUGUGAUACACUCUCAACGAGUCGAGUUGUUUGGGAAUGCAGCUCAAAAUGGGUGGUAAAUUCCAUCUAAAGCUAAAUAUUGGCGAGAGACCGAUAGCGAACAAGUACCGUGAGGGAAAGAUGAAAAGCACUUUGGAAAGAGAGUGAAACAGUACGUGAAAUUGUUGAAAGGGAAGCGUUUGAAGUCAGUCACGUCUGUCGGAAUUCAGCCUGGCUUCUGCCUGGUGUACUUUCCGUCYGACGGGUCAGCAUCAAUUUCGACCGAGGGAAAAAGACGUGAGGAAUGUGGCUGUCUUCGGGCAGUGUUAUAGACUCGCGUUGUAUGUCUCGGUUGGGAYUGAGGAACGCAGCGCGCCUAUUGGCCGGGGGUUCGCGCCCCUCGGUACGCGCUUAGGAUGCUGGCAUAAUGGCUUUAAGCGACCCGUCUUG
rnacentral:rRNA from 1 species